AAAAAGACAAACUCGGUUUCCGUGUCCAACGUUUUUUCGUUCGUCUUAUUUGAAAAAAUUAUAAAAAAAAAUUAAAAAAUAAGUCACGCAUAAAGUAUUAAUCAUGUUUUAUCAUCUAACAACAAUGAAAAUAUUAAUUAUAAAAAAAUUUCACAUAAGACGGACAGUCAAACGUUGGCACGAAAACUCAGGGUUUACCCUUUU
rfam:Oryza barthii chromosome 7, whole genome shotgun sequence.